UUCUAAGCUAGGGACUGCUGUCCAGUUGUCCCCUGUCAUCAGGACUUGCAAGGCAAGUAGGCAGGGCCAGGGGUGAGGGUGGAGCGCAGUGGUCACUAUCCUCCCCCCUGUGUCUGUGUGUGCGUGACCGUUACAGGAGAUGGGGCCAUGAUCCAGUGAGGGAUUCUGAGUGUAGAUCUGGAGUCAGGAAGGAAAUUCUUUCCCUAAGUGUCUCUCUCCAUCCAGAAUUACACCGUAGUGAAGAAGACAUCGGGGGUGACUCCCAUCAUCCAUGAGUCAGGAGGGUGGAGCAGGACCCCCAUCACAGAGCCUCCCCCACUGAUACAUAAGCAGAAGAUCCUACAACUCACCCACAAGAUGAUGGAGCUACUGACUGGAGAGGUUCCUGUAAGGUGUCAGGAUGUGUCGGUCUAUUUCUCCAUGGAGGAGUGGGAGUAUCUAGAAGGACACAAGGAUCUGUACAAGGACGCCAUGAUGGAGGCUCCCCGGCCUCUAAUAUCACCAGAUAGAUCCAGGAGGAGAAAUCCCCCCGAGAGAUGUCCCCGUCCUCUAUAUUCCCAGG